AGAAUCCACGCCCCUUAGCAUUUAUUAUUUUCACAUGCUGUAAGGUCAGACGUGUUGUCCUCCUACCCCCAACUUCCUGUCCUCAUCCCAAAACUUUGUUUGGUCUAUAUUCCGUCAUUGGCCCUUGUCUUGCUGUAAAGUACUGGAGUACUUGAGCUACAUCUCUGGAAGUGAACA